GGCAGUGUACGAAAGUGGUUACUCGGUUGGUUUUAGGCACCAAUGUCUCCGGACGCGUGGGUUCGAACCCCACCACUGUCA